AUUGAACGCUGGCGGCAUGCCUUACACAUGCAAGUCGAACGGCAGCACGGGAGCAAUCCUGGUGGCGAGUGGCGAACGGGUGAGUAAUAUAUCGGAACGUGCCCAGUCGUGGGGGAUAACGUAGCGAAAGCUACGCUAAUACCGCAUACGAUCUACGGAUGAAAGCGGGGGAUCGCAAGACCUCGCGCGAUUGGAGCGGCCGAUAUCAGAUUAGGUAGUUGGUGAGGUAAAGGCUCACCAAGCCGACGAUCUGUAGCUGGUCUGAGAGGACGACCAGCCACACUGGGACUGAGACACGGCCCAGACUCCUACGGGAGGCAGCAGUGGGGAAUUUGGACAAUGGGCGCAAGCCUGAUCCAGCAAUGCCGCGUGCAGGAUGAAGGCCUUCGGGUUGUAAACUGCUUUGUACGGAACGAAACGGUGAGCUCUAAUACAGUUUGCUAAUGACGGUACCGUAAGAAUAAGCACCGGCUAACUACGUG
rnacentral:rRNA from 1 species